UUGUGUACUUUAGAUAUUUCAAAAAAUUUAUAUUUUAUCAAGAAAACGGAACUCUUGGGAAUUGUGAAGUUAGGUUUGCAAAUUUUGACCAAUGAGCGAGUGCGUAUGCGCGAUUGGGCGUAACUUUUGAUUCACGAACUCUUCCGAAAGGAGGUCGAAACUUACAAAAAAUAACACUAACGAGGCGUAUGAAGAUGUUCUUAAGUUUAUGAUAAUAAAUAUAAAUAUUGUAAUAUACAAAUAUACCUAAAUAUUAAUUUUUAAGUCCGAUAUCCUAGAAUAACGUUGUAUUUUCUAAAGCAACUACAAGCACACGAAGUUAUCAAAAUAGUUGCAAUUACACUUGGCGAACAGGAAAUUCCACGACGUUGUUGGUUAAAUGCGAUUAACCGAUUUGUUGUGCAUAGCUUGUCGACUGGCGGCGAUAUUAUUAAGGGUUAAGAUUUCCAAGGACGAUGGAUAUACACGAGCUAUCCUCCAUUGGAUACAAUGGUAAUUAGUCUUAUCUCGAGCCAACAAGAUUGCAAGGGAGAAUUCGUGCAACAGAGAGAACAGAUAAUACAAGCCGGAGGAGAUUGUUUCCAAGCUGAAAUUCCGCCGCGUCUACCGCUUCGCUAAUAUCCUGUGUCCAAAAUCUAACGUCGAAUCUCGACGUUCAAAUGUCGGUGAGAAUACCAAUUUCAAGCCGUUUCAAGGAAACUAGUCUCAAACGAGUCCGCUUAUCUUUCUGCGUUGGCGGAUGACGUUCAAGAAAAAUUCAAGAUGUAAAAAUAAAAAUAAUAUCAUUUGGAAUUACAAUUGCAAAGGAGAAAAAUGAAUCCAGUAUUUAAACGAGAAUUAUCAUUCCUGGCCGAACAGUAACGACAAAGUUAAUGCUGAAAGUAUAGCGGGCGUGGUUACCUAGUUUACAAGUUGCGUACUUUUGAUUACACCGUCGAAAAACACAACGGCAACGGGAAUCGCGUUUUGAGCACAGUUUCAGAAGUUAGCUUAUAAGAUCGACGGAAAUAUAAGAUACUAGAAAGCGGCAGAAGUUGGGUAAAAGAAAGUUUCUCGCAAAAUUCCACAGACCAAGUGAACAAUCUUAUUCCUCUUGAAACGUGGAUACAUAUUUCUUAACCGUUCAAAGCUUCCUGUACAUACUUCCGGUAUGCAAAUGAAAACACGACAAUUGCUUGUUACUUUUAUGUCAAGUACAUAUUUGAAUAGAGUAGGAGAAGGAAUAAAAAGAGAGAAAAGUACUUACGACUUUCAAUGAAAUCUCGCGUUGCACUGGAUGAAAUUAUUUAAAGAAGACUGCUCUUUGAAAUCGCUUGCCUGACGGGAAGCCACGAAGGGAAACGAAGGGUGCAUCACCCUUAGUGAGAGUCGUAAGAAAAGAGAUCCCUAUUUCCCGUCCUAUAGGCAAUUUGACUUUUCUGCCCUUUGAGUCAAUGAUCCUGGUUGUAAAGGAAGAAUCACUCCCGAGUAAACCUCUCUACUAUAAGGGCCCUUUGAAUAAGAUGGUUCAUUUACUCUAGUAGAUAAUAAAAUUAUUAAUAUUUCAUCAUUAGCUUCUACAAUUUUUGUAACUGAACGACAGCCACGAGUUAACAAGUUCAGUUUGUGUCAUCGUUAUAAAAGAAGAGAGAUUAAUGGGUGGAAGAAAAGUAGACUCGAAAAAAAGGCAUUGUACCUAACACUUUACAGCUAUAACGAAAGAUAAUAGGGUGCCAUUAGAACGUAACAUGUUUCAAGGCACCUAAUACGUUUACGCAUCCGCUUAGAACACAGCUUACGAACCCGAUACAACCUAAUUAUCGCAUAGGUGAACACCAGAGCGUGUCUAACCUAUUAUUUUCAACCGAUAGUAUGGAACUAAUGUAAUUAUAUAUCCCAUUCCGCUUUUGAUGCGGUUUUAAUCUGGUUCGCUUCGCCGUAACCACGUUCUUACAUCGUUCAUACACUCCUCGCGAUCUAUUACUUACCAGAAACAACAAAUUUCCGCUGGUUUAUGUCUUUAAUAACGCAAGGUGUUAUGUUACACCUGCGAUAUGUGUUUUGUAAUUUCAAAAAGUUUCAAAAUUUCGAAAUCCAAAUCGUAUUUAAUUGAUAGCAGUGCGAGUUAACAAAAAUAGUUCAGAAAUCAGUCGAAAUUCCAGAGAUAUGCAUAUUGAGAAAAUAUCGUAUAAAAAAGACUCCACCAAUCAAUACACAUCAAAUUAUUAACAAUUAUCGUGAAAAGCGAUUGGUAAAAAUGUUUCAAAACACACCAGCACGCAACAUAGUUUUUUGUUAUCGAAACGCAGUGUAAACUUUUUAUUAUUCAAAAUAUUAAAUCAUUUAAAACGUCAUGUAGCGUAGAGAAACAAGCAUUUCCCGUAUACGUCAAUUAAUGGUUUUUGGUAGCGUUAACUCGUCAUUCGGGACUUGGUGCAUCGCGUAUUAUUCCCGUGUCAAUUAAAAUAUUUUAUUUUAACAAUAGAAACAAAAAACAAAGUGGUAAAUGAAUUGGAUGUCUGUGAAAUUUCAAUCAAAGCAACACACUGUGUUGCUUUCGCAUAUUCUAUCCGAAA